UGUCCAGACUCCUACGGGAGGCAGCAGUGGGGAAUAUUGCACAAUGAGCGAAAGCCUGAUGCAGCAACGCCGCGUGAAGGAAGAAGGCCUUCGGGUCGUAAACUUCUGUCCUUGGGGAAGAAGAACUGACGGUACCCAAGGAGGAAGCCCCGGCUAACUACGUGCCAGCAGCCGCGGUAAUACGUAGGGGGCAAGCGUUAUCCGGAAUUAUUGGGUUUAAAGGGUGCGUAGGCGGACUGUUAAGUCAGCGGUAAAAGCCCGGGGCCAACCCCCGGCGAGCCGUUGAAACUGGCUGUCUUGAGAUGUCGAGAGGUAUGCGGAAUGCGCAGUGUAGCGGUGAAAUGCUUAGAUAUUGCGCAGAACUCCGAUUGCGAAGGCAGCAUACCGGCGGCGAUCUGACGCUGAGGCACGAAAGCGUGGGUAUCGAACAGGAUUAGAUACCCUAGUA
rnacentral:rRNA from 1 species